GAAACAUCGAAAGAGCCUGUCACUCUAGUCCAGUUCGCUCAUCAUUUGCAGCGUGGGCAAGUGACGUGUAAUGCAAGUUGCGGCAAAUAAAGUCUGAACAAAGCUAUCAUGUGAGGGGAUCCAGCGUUAAGAAACAGUCUGUAAAGACUGGGGUCUUCUGUAGGCAGGGACCUGACACCAUCCCCCUGCCGCCCAGUGCAUGGAAAUUGCUUGGCUUCAGCCUCAGAGCAUCCUUGUGGGGAUUUUGUGAAGCGGGGGGGGGGGGGGGGUGUUUUCUCAGUUUCCGAGGAGAAUUUCAAGGAGAAUUUGAGUAAAAAAAAAAAUUCAAUUCUGCCUCUCACUCUCAUCCUCACCCAUCCGGAACACGGGAAUGUCCCACUUUAGACCCAGAGAAGAGUGGAAUCUGGAGGCAGGGAGCUGGAGGCACAGAAGCUGAGGCCAAGGUCAUGACCGCUCACUGGGCUUCUGAAGGAGGUGGCAGCUAGGCGCCGCCCUCUGUCUGACCCAGGAGCUGACCUGGAUGGUGCCUGGGACCCACUGAUAUCUGGAGCAAUGCUAGGGGAAGGAGGGAGAGCUACUGCUGACCAGCCCUUGAUCCUGUGGAAGCUGAAGCUCACUGAGUGCCUUUUAGGAAUUGUCCUGAAAGGAAGAUCAACUGUUAAGCACACACAGAGCUGCCUUAGAAAGGCGCUCCCUGGCCUCCCUGGCCCUACUUCUUUUCCCUGUUAGAGAUUUGUGAGAGGUCCGAAUCCUAACCUUUCUGUCUCCCCAACUCCAGGAACCAGAUCUAAUUGUCCAUCACCUCAGCAGCCUGUCUUCAUGGCUUAGGAUGAUGG
ensembl:processed_transcript Gm12676 predicted gene 12676